rnacentral:rRNA from 1 species
AACCCAAUGUGAACGUUACCAAACUGUUGCCUCGGCGGGAUCUCUGCCCCGGGUGCGUCGCAGCCCCGGACCAAGGCGCCCGCCGGAGGACCAACCAAAACUCUUUUUGUAUACCCCCUCGCGGGUUUUUUAUAAUCUGAGCCUUCUCGGCGCCUCUCGUAGGCGUUUCGAAAAUGAAUCAAAACUUUCAACAACGGAUCUCUUGGUUCUGGCAUCGAUGAAGAACGCAGCGAAAUGCGAUAAGUAAUGUGAAUUGCAGAAUUCAGUGAAUCAUCGAAUCUUUGAACGCACAUUGCGCCCGCCAGUAUUCUGGCGGGCAUGCCUGUCCGAGCGUCAUUUCAACCCUCGAACCCCUCCGGGGGGUCGGCGUUGGGGAUCGGCCCUCCCUUAGCGGGGGCCGUCUCCGAAAUACAGUGGCGGUCUCGCCGCAGCCUCUCCUGCGCAGUAGUUUGCACACUCGCAUCGGGAGCGCGGCGCGUCCACAGCCGUUAAACACCCAACUUCUGAAAUGUUGACCUCGGAUCAGGUAGGAAUACCCGCUGAACUUAAGCAUAUCAAUAAGCGGAGGAACUUUUCUUUUUUCUUUUUUUUUUUU